GAGGAGGCCAAACUCAAACAAGCCUAGAAGCGUAAGUCAAUAAUGCAGAAGAUCAUGCAAAUGUUUAAUGGGCCAAAGCCUCUAAAUGGGCUGAAAACCGCAGAUAGUGUAGAAAUCUCACAAGAAAUUUUCCUGCCCUUUUGAUCCUUUUUAAACCCUCGUUAUUUGGUCCUCUUUUGAUUCGGAGUGCAUAUUGGAGGAGAUCAGAAUCAGCUAAUGAUGAGACCCAGUUUGAUGAAGCAGCAUGAAAGGCCCUUAACGUUUUUGAAGUAUAACAGAGAAGGUGAUAUCUUGUUCUCCUGCGCCAAAGACCACACUCCCACCAUCUGGUUUGCUGACAAUGGCGGGCGUUUGGAUAGUUGCCGCGGCCACAACAGCCCCGUUUGGUGCUGCAAUUUGUCAAGCAAAUCCUCUUUUUUCUGUCUCUCUAUAAAGAUUUCCUCUUUUUUCAACUGUUUGUUGAUGUUUACUCAAGUUUGUAUCCAUUAUUGUAUUGAUACGGUGUUGCAUUUAUCGUAAACAUUUGAAAUUAUGUAUCUUCUUGUCCUAUGCAAAUGACUAUGAACAUUUCUUUUUUU
rnacentral:misc_RNA from 1 species